rnacentral:rRNA from 1 species
UACGUAUGGGGCAAGCGUUAUCCGGAUUUAUUGGGCGUAAAGAGCGCGUAGGCGGUUUGUUAAGUCGGAUGUGAAAACCGGGGGCUCAACCCGCGGCCUGCAUCCGAAACUGGCAGACUUGAGUCUGGUAGAGGAAAGUGGAAUUCCCAGUGUAGCGGUGAAAUGCGCAGAUAUUGGGAGGAACACCAGUGGCGAAGGCGGCUUUCUGGGCCACGACUGACGCUGAGGCGCGAAAGCUAGGGGAGCAAACAGG